GACAAACCGGAGGAAGGUGGGGAUGACGUCAAAUCAUCAUGCCCCUUAUGACCUGGGCUACACACGUGCUACAAUGGACAGAACAAAGGGCAGCGAAACCGCGAGGUUAAGCCAAUCCCACAAAUCUGUUCUCAGUUCGGAUCGCAGUCUGCAACUCGACUGCGUGAAGCUGGAAUCGCUAGUAAUCGCGGAUCAGCAUGCCGCGGUGAAUACGUUCCCGGGCCUUGUACACACCGCCCGUCACACCACGAGAGUUUGUAACACCCGAAGUCGGUGAGGUAACCUUUAUGGAGCCAGCCGCCGAAGGUGGGACAGAUGAUUGGGGUGAAGUCGUAACAAGGUAGCCGUAUCGGAAGGUGCGGCUGGAUCACCUCCUUU
rnacentral:rRNA from 1 species